rnacentral:rRNA from 1 species
AGGAUAAACGCUGGCGGCGUGCCUAAUGCAUGCAAGUCGAACGGACAUUCUCGCAAGAGGGUGUUAGUGGCAAACGGGUGAGUAACACGUGGGGAUCUGCCCAGUAGUGGGGAACAACUCCGAGAAAUCGGAGCUAAUACCGCAUACGGUCUGUGUCGAAGGACACGAGACUAAAGCCUACGCAAGUGGGCGCUAUUGGAGGAACCUGCGGCUGAUUAGCUAGUUGGUGGGUAAAGGCCUACCAAGGCGAUGAUCAGUAGCUGGUCUGAGAGGAUGGACAGCCACACUGGGACUGAGAUACGGCCCAGACUCCUACGGGAGGCAGCAGCAAGGAAUUUUCGUCAAUGGGGGAAACCCUGAACGAGCAACGCCGCGUGGGCGAAGAAGUCUUUCGGGAUGUAAAGCCCUUUUCCCUGUGAAGAAAGAAAGACGGUAACAGGGGAAUAAGCAUCGGCUAACUACGUGCCAGCAGCCGCGGUAA